ACAGCCAGACACACAUCCAUCCACCAAGACAGCCAGACACACACACACACAGCCAGCCAGACACACAGACAGAGAGACACGUACCCAUACAGCCAGACACACAUCCAUCCACCAAGACAGCCAGACACACACACACACACACAGCCAGACAGACACCCAGACAGAGAGACACGUACCCAGACAGCCAGACAUCCAUCCACCAAGACAGCCAGACACACACACACACACACAGCCAGACACCCACCCAGACAGAGAGACAGCCAGACACACACACACACACACAGCCAGACACCCACCCAGACAGAGAGACAGCCAGACACACACACACACACACAGCCAGACACCCACCCAGACAGAGAGACAGCCAGACACACACACACACACACAGCCAGACACCCACCCAGACAGACACAGCCAGCCAGACAUCCAUCCACCAAGACAGCCAGACACACACAUAGCCAGACAGACAGCCAGACAUCCACCCAGACAGACAGCCACCAACCCAGACAGUCACCCACCAAGACAGCCAGCCGGGUACCCAGACAGACACACAGCCAGACCCAGACAGACACACACACAGACACACACCCAGACAGACAGACAGACAGACAGGUACCCAGACAAACAGGUACCCAGACAGACACACAGACAGACACACACACACACCCAGACAGACAGACAGACAGACAGACAGACAGACAGACAGACAGACAGGUACCCAGACAGACACACAGACAGACAGGUACCCAGAGAGACAGACAGGUAUCCAGACAGACAGGUACCCAGACAGACAGCCUCACUGUGUUCCUCUACCUCACGCACACACUUUUUCUUCUCUGUCUGUCUCUCUCUCUCUUUCUGUCUGUCUUUCUCUCUCUGUCUCUCUUUGUCUCUGUCUGUCUCAAUCCAAUAUAAGGGCUUUAUUACCAUGGGAAACAUAUGCUAACAUUGCCAAAGCAAGUGAAGUCGAUAAUAUACAAAAGUGAAUUAAACAAAAAUGAACAGUAAACAUUACACUCACAGAAGUGC
rnacentral:lncRNA from 1 species